AUCUUUUUGUAGUCUGUAAGUAUGAUGAUUAGGUGUUCACACUCAUGUGUGAGAUAAGUCACCCUCAAAUCUUGUUGUGACUUUGGCACAUUACCUGUCUGACA
ensembl:snoRNA